GAGUUGCUUGGAGGAGCUUGGAGAAGCAAGGCCCUGGAGUGCCAGGAGCCCUUCUCCCAAAGAUGGAGAAAUAAAUGAAGAUAUACAGGAAAAUAAGCAUUGGGUGUUUUGCAAUGGCUACACAAACUUGUCAUGUCUUCCAUGGUCAAGAAAAUAAUGUUUCUGUAAAACCAUUGCAUUAGGAGAAACACUGGCAGAGAUUCAAAGAAGCCACUAAAGCAGAAGAAUAUGAAUGGACUUGGUCAAAAUUCGGACAAUGGAUUAUUGGUUACACAUGUUAACCAGACACAGGACUUACUGAGGCUGCAGGGGAGCGAGACCCAGUCUUCAGAUUGGGAGGACACUGAAGACUGGCUUUCGGCUCACAGUUUGAAGUGUCAGAAACUCACCUUGGCUGACCUGAUAAGCCAGGGCACAGAAGUGCUGUAAGUCUGAAGCUGUUCCCCACACCCCCCACAGCUGCAGUGACACAUGCAGUCCCCUGGGCCCGAGAGACCCCCUCAUAAGGCUUUGCUUCUUCAGGGAGGAGGGCACCAAUGUCGUGCAGAAAAUACGUUUCUCCACCCAGAUCAUCCGCCACUUUGAAUCAAAGCUUUCUGACACUAUUGAAGUCUAUCAAGAGAGAAUUCAGUGGCUCACAGAAAACAGCAAGAAGGCAUUUGGCCUCGUCAAAGGGGCCAGAGUCAGCGUCCUCAUAGAUGUGUCAGCCGUCAGCAGUGGCCCUCAGAAAGAGGAGUUCCAAAAGGACCUCAUGAGCCUCAUCGAUGAACAGCUGAGCCACAAGGAGAAGCUGUUUGUCCUGUCCUUUGGCACCAAUGCCAGGUCCCUCUGGCCAGACCCCAUGGAAGUCAGCGCCUCCACCCUCCAGGAACUUAAGCUCUGGGUAAAGACACUGCAGCCUGAUGGAGGCAGCAACCUGCUACAAGCUCUGAAGAAGAUCUUUACUCUCAAGGGCCUGGAUUCCCUGGUGGCCAUCAUGAGAAGCUGCCCAGAUCAGCCUUCUGAAAUCCUGUCUGACUACAUCCAGCAGUCCACCAUGGGAAGAAACCUCAUCAUCCACUUCAUCACCUACAGAUGCGAUGAUCAGAUGCCCCCUGCUGUCCUGAAGAACCUCGCAGAAGCUGUUAGGGGCUACUACCACUGCUACAGCCCAAAGAUGGAGCACUACACCAGCCGGGACAUGGAUGAGCUCCUGGCAGAAAUUCAGAAGGCCCAGAGCCUCCUCAGCCACAUGCAAGCCCUGCGGCACAGCAGCCCCUGUGAGGCGCUCACCUGCACCAUGGAGGAGCCAAGAAAUUAAGUCUAUAUCAGGUCCUGGCACCCAACGCAUUCUCUCCUGUGGAAGAAUUUGUACCUAUUCUCCAGAAAACAGUAUCAUCGACUAUCCAUGAGAAGGCAAUGAUACAAUUUGAAUGGCACGACGGGACAGUGAAGAACAUUCAUGUGGACCCACCCUUCCUCUAUGAGUACCAGAAACAGCUCAGCAGAGCUAUGCGGAUGUACGAGAGGCGGAUCGAGUGGCUCUCCCUGGCCAGCAGAAGAAUCUGGGGCACUGUCUGUGAAAAAAGGGUGGUUGUACUGCUCGAUAUCUCUGCGACCAAUUCCAUGUACAUUAUUCAUAUCCAGCACUCCCUGCGGCUGCUGCUGGAGGAGCAGUUAUCCAACAAGGACUACUUCAACCUCAUCGCGUUUGGAAGCACAAUUGAAAGCUGGAGGCCUGAGAUGGUUCCCGUGAGUCACAACAAUUUACAAAGUGCCUGGCGGUGGGCCCUGAACCUGCGAUGUCGGGGCAGCAGGAACGUUCUCAGCGCCCUGCGGAAGGCUGUAGAAGUGGACUUCAAGGACAAAGACAAACACCAAUCGCAGGGAAUCUACCUCUUCACUGGGGGCAUCCCCGACCAGGACAUGGACUGGACCAGGCACAGAGAAGGCCCUGGAGAAACAUGGCCAGGCUGGGCUGCCCAGAGCCCCACAGCUUCAAGGCCCUCAGCUGCUGGCCCCUCCUACCUUCUCUUCCCCACCAGCCUAUACUCAGCGCCUACAUGGCCGAGGCCUGUGGUGGCUGCGACCUCCAGCUGAACGUGUGUCUAUUCUACGUGGGCGAGCCAAAGAUGGACACCACACCCCCUGCCUGCUAUGCCAAUCGCACUGACACGGCCGCUGCCUACAAGGAGGUCACCCGGGCUGCAGGUGGCCGCUUCCACUGGUUUGGAGACACAGGCAUUUAUGAGAGCGAUGACAUCAACUCCAUCAUGUCUGAGAUGGAAAAGGCUCUCAACUACUCCCAAAAGUGUGCCUUCCUCAUGGCCUCCCUGAAGAACCGUUCAGGAAAAGUACUGGGAAAUGCAGCCCUCCCG
rnacentral:sRNA from 1 species